UUAAACCUCACGUCAACGGAGAUGAUGGCGAUCCUAAAUAGAACCCCUCCGCUCCGAACCACCUCUCUCCCCCGACGCCGGUCGUGGAUGCCCCGGAACGAGAUUGUUCCGGUGGAGGAGGAGGGGGACGAGGGAUGAACGAUCUUUCCUUCGCCGUGGCUUCCGAUCGACGGAGGUGGUUCGGCCCGGUCCCGGCCGCCGUGAUUCGCGUCGUCGUCCCCCUGCUCCUCGCCGCCCUGGCCUUCGCCGUCUUCAUCCUCGUCGUCGUCCACAACGCCGUCCUCCUCGUCUCCGUCCUCGUCCUCUCCGCCCUCAUCCUCGCUUUCUUUCUCUGGAACGCCGCCGCCUACAGGAGGAAGUUGUCCCUCGACCUCUUCCUCGAUCGCUUCCCCGACACCGAUCUCCUCUCCGCCAAGGACAGCCAGCUCGUCAAGGUCACUGGGUUUGCUUCAUGUGGAGAUCUUUCUCUUGAAUCCUCAUAUGAGAAGGCUGGAAGAUGUGUCUAUACGUCAACCAUCUUGUAUGAAUGUUGUGGAUGCCACCCAAAGCAAGCCCAUGUUAGCCAUCAAUGCUUCCAGUGGAAUUUAGCUUUCGUGGAGAGGAUGGCUACAGACUUUUACAUAACAGAUGUCAAAUCUGGUCUAAGAGCUUUGGUGAAAGCUGGUCAGGGUUCCAAAGUGAUUCCUCUGAUUGAAGAAAACAUUCUUGUGAACAUCACAAGCCUAAAUAGAGAAUUAUCUUCCACCUUGAAGAAAUGGUUACAAGGAAGACGGCUUUCCUGCGAAGCGCGUCUACUACGUCUUGAGGAAGGGUAUGUUAUCGAGGGAACCUGUUUGACUGUGAUGGGAAUGUUGAGCAGAAAGAAUGGUGUACUUGUGAUUGUCCCACUACCUGAAACUAUUUCUACAGACUGCCUUUUGCAAAAGUUUCUCCUUCCUGUUGACAUUGAUGGUCUGCUUUUGAAGACCGCCAACAUGUCCACAGCUAACAUCCGCCUUUCCUGAACCAAGAAAAUUUCUGGUGCCUUUGCAACUUCUGCCAUGGUGUGUGGGUUUACAGUAUCAGUUUUUGGGGGGUUCCAAAAUUUUGGUAAUUAUUAUUGUGGAUUUAUGGUUCAAGGUGCUUCUGGCGUUGUCGAUCAUGUGGCAUUUACAAUAGUGAAUUUAUUACCAGGAUUUUUGCUCUCCAUCUCAAUCUACACUCGAGAUUCUCAAGUGACGAUGAAGUUUAUGGUUUCUUCUUCGUUUAAGAAGAGUAUCUUUUGUGAAACUCUUAACCCGUUUGUUGCGAGAAGAAACUGUGCCCGCCGAGCACCGUAGACGGGCACUGCAGUGGCAGACAGCGUGUUCUAUUCGUCCAAAUGUCCCCAGAAAAGCAACUCGUCAGCCACUUCAUGCAUCCAUAAAACCUUCUUGCCUGCCUGUACGCCUACCGCCCUCAUCAUUGCGCUAUCUUUGUCUCUUUUGUUUCCUCCUCCUUUCUCCCCCCUCUCACAGGGAUCAUUUUUACCUGAACGCUCUACAUGAUCAUCUUCUCUCCGUUCUCCCGAGAAUGCAGCAGGUGAUCUUUCGGGCAUCGUUCCACGUCGUCGCAGCACGACUCCUGCUGCUGUUGCUUCUCCAAGGGGAUGACUGCUGGUGCUACCAGUACAAGGUUGGAGACCUUGACUACUGGGGGCUGCCCCCUCCGUCCGACCCCUUCCUCUACUCCUCCUGGUCUCAGAACCACCGCUUCCGCCUCGGUGACUCCCUUCGUAAGUAGUGUUUCAGCUGUAUCAUUGCUGUCGUUGUCUUCUUAACCUGCUUUAGACACCGUGUCGUGGUCUGCUGUGGCCAGUGUUCUUGUACCCGCCGAGCCAGGACUCGGUGAUGCAGGUGACGGAGCGGGCGUUUAACAGCUGCAGCUUGACCGACCCCAUACGGAAGCUGGACGACGGCAACUCCCUCUUUAACCUGACGACCCCGGGGAACUACUACUUCACCAGCGGCGCCCCCAGCCACUGCGAGAAGAACCAGAAGCUGGCGGUUGCCGUCCCCUCACUAAACAACGGGACCUUCUUCCCGCCCGCCGUAGACUUCGCCGUCCCGCCGGCGGGGUCGCAGUCCUACCUGACCGUCUUCGGCCCUGCUCCGGCUCAGGGACACAGCGGCAAUCCGGCAGCGGCCGUCACGGCCAUGGGAUCCGUCGUCUCGGCCGCGCUGCUCCUCGGCGUGGCUUUCGCAUGACGCCGACGGAAAUGGAAUGGCAUUUUUGGAGUUAUGCUUGGUAGAAGCUUUUGUUUCUUUUUUCCUUUUUCUCUUUUAUCUUCUUUAUCUUUUGUC